CAUUCACGGAGAGUUUGAUCCUGGCUCAGGACGAACGCUGGCGGCGUGCUUAACACAUGCAAGUCGAACGAUGAACCACUUCGGUGGGGAUUAGUGGCGAACGGGUGAGUAACACGUGGGCAAUCUGCCCUGCACUCUGGGACAAGCCCUGGAAACGGGGUCUAAUACCGGAUACAACCACUGACCGCAUGGUCGGGUGGUGGAAAGCUCCGGCGGUGCAGGAUGAGCCCGCGGCCUAUCAGCUUGUUGGUGAGGUAACGGCUCACCAAGGCGACGACGGGUAGCCGGCCUGAGAGGGCGACCGGCCACACUGGGACUGAGACACGGCCCAGACUCCUACGGGAGGCAGCAGUGGGGAAUAUUGCACAAUGGGCGAAAGCCUGAUGCAGCGACGCCGCGUGAGGGAUGACGGCCUUCGGGUUGUAAACCUCUUUCAGCAGGGAAGAAGCGAGAGUGACGGUACCUGCAGAAGAAGCGCCGGCUAACUACGUGCCAGCAGCCGCGGUAAUACGUAGGGCGCAAGCGUUGUCCGGAAUUAUUGGGCGUAAAGAGCUCGUAGGCGGCUUGUCACGUCGGUUGUGAAAGCCCGGGGCUUAACCCCGGGUCUGCAGUCGAUACGGGCAGGCUAGAGUUCGGUAGGGGAGAUCGGAAUUCCUGGUGUAGCGGUGAAAUGCGCAGA
rnacentral:rRNA from 1 species